GCGGCGUCGUGGUUUUAGCAAUAGUGUGUCAUUCGUGUAAAGUGUAAAAAAGUAGCUCAUGUAAAAGUGCUCCAAACACGACGGUUUUCGACGAUGCUUGACAAGGGGAAGAUGCAUGGUGCCUGACGACCGUCAAGAUGUGGACUUCGAACGAUAUGUCUAGUCGAAGAUUCCCGCGCGAAUUCUGCUCAGAUUGACGAGGGCAUAGCUUAAAGUGGAAGAUGAUAGCGACGCACGGUGCUAAAAUUGAUUGACUGGGUUAAUUACUUUGCCAAAUCGAGGUCUCUCAAGUACAACUCUAUUUGCGUAUUUGAGUUAGCGAAGAGGCUGCAGUAUGCUGGUUUGUGCGUUGCGCGUGCUUACGACUAGCAAGACCACUUCCAUGCUCAUCGUUCGAAGAAGCUUCCAUGUUCUGAAGCUUAGCUGAGGACGAUCUAUUUGUUCUUGUGAAUACAUUGUGGACCAGGUGCAUUAAUUCGCGACGUUUAAGGUUUCUACAUAUCUCUAUCGUACAAGAAGAUCGAGUCAUCGUGGUAAGUGUUUUAUCUAAGCAACUGAAAAUUCAUAUGUAAUGGCUUUUUCAUUUUUCCUGAACAAAAAUGGCGCAUGCCGUCGAAUUUUUCCACCUAACGUCCAUCUUCGUUUGUAAAUAUUUAUAUGAAUAACAUAUUAAGAUCUUAAGUGGAACUUCUUCUUCAAAUUCUUCUUCUUGUCUAAGGAAAGUAACUCGGUUCUCCAAAAUGGAAGAAUUCGACAAUCUAAAAAAAAAAAAAAAAAAAAAAAAAAAUGAAGUUAAAAUAA